rnacentral:rRNA from 1 species
UACGUACCGUCCAAACGUUAUUCGGAAUUACUGGGCUUAAAGGGUACGUAGGCGGCGCUGUCAGUCGGGUGUGAAAUCCCUCGGCUCAACCGAGGAACUGCGCCCGAUACUGCAGUGCUUGAGGGAGACAGAGGUAAGCGGAACUGAUGGUGGAGCGGUGAAAUGCGUUGAUAUCAUCAGGAACACCAGUGGCGAAAGCGGCUUACUGGGUCUCUUCUGACGCUGAGGUACGAAAGCUAGGGGAGCGAAGGGG